GUCCUUCUCCCCUUCUCUAAUCCUUAGUACCUGGGUGUGGGUGCUGUCUCAAUGCAGUGCACAUGGGCAAGCAUUCCAAGACUGAGCU
rnacentral:pre_miRNA from 1 species